rnacentral:rRNA from 1 species
GGCAGUUAGAGGCGAUGAAGGACGUGUAAGUCUGCGAAAAGCUGUGGUGAGCCGACAAAAUGCAUUUGAGCCACAGAUGUCCGAAUGGGGAAACCCACCUGUUUACAGGUAUCGUUAACUGAAUACAUAGGUUAACGAGGCAAACGAGGGGAACUGAAACAUCUAAGUACCCGGAGGAAAAGAAAUCAACCGAGAUUCCCUUAGUAGCGGCGAGCGAACGGGGACCAGCCGAAUCAGUGUGGUGUAGUGGAAGGCUCUGGAAAGUGCCGGCACAGAGGGUGAUACCCCCGUACGCGAAACACCGCAUUGGACACAUUAAGUAGGGCGGGGCACGUGAAACCUUGUCUGAACAUGGGGGGACCAUCCUCCAAGGCUAAAUACUCGUUGUCGACCGAUAGUGAACCAGUACCGUGAGGGAAAGGCGAAAAGAACCCCGGCGAGGGGAGUGAAAUAGAACCUGAAACCGUAUACGUACAAGCAGUGGGAGCAGACUUGUUCUGUGACUGCGUACCUUUUGUAUAAUGGGUCAGCGACUUAUAUUUUGUAGCGAGGUUAACCGAAUAGGGGAGCCGUAGCGAAAGCGAGUCUUAACUGGGCGCUUAGUUGCAAGGUAUAGACCCGAAACCCGGUGAUCUAGCCAUGGGCAGGUUGAAGGUUGAGUAACAUCAACUGGAGGACCGAACCCACUAACGUUGAAAAGUUAGGGGAUGACCUGUGGCUGGGGGUGAAAGGCCAAUCAAACCGGGAGAUAGCUGGUUCUCCCCGAAAGCUAUUUAGGUAGCGCCUCGGACGAAUACCAUUGGGGGUAGAGCACUGUUUGGGCUAGGGGGUCAUCC